rnacentral:rRNA from 1 species
CGAACGAACGCUGGCGGCAGGCUUAACACAUGCAAGUCGAGCGCCCCGCAAGGGAGCGGCAGACGGGUGAGUAACGCGUGGGAAUCUACCCUUCACUACGGAACAACUCCGGGAAACUGGAGCUAAUACCGUAUACGUCCUUCGGGAGAAAGAUUUAUCGGUGAUGGAUGAGCCCGCGUUGGAUUAGCUAGUUGGUGGGGUAAUGGCCUACCAAGGCAACGAUCCAUAGCUGGUCUGAGAGGAUGAUCAGCCACACUGGGACUGAGACACGGCCCAGACUCCUACGGGAGGCAGCAGUGGGGAAUAUUGGACAAUGGGCGAAAGCCUGAUCCAGCCAUGCCGCGUGAGUGAUGAAGGCCCUAGGGUUGUAAAGCUCUUUCACCGGUGAAGAUAAUGACGGUAACCGGAGAAGAAGCCCCGGCUAACUUCGUG